UUUUUCCCUCAAGAUAGUUGGAGCUCGCGGGCUAGUUCUAUCAGGUAAAGCCAAUGAUUAAAGGCAUCAGGGGCGCAACACCCUCGAUCUAUUCUCAAACUUUAAAUAUGUAGGACAACGUGGCUGCUUCGUUGAGCCACGCCACAGAAUCGAGAGCUCCAAGUAGGCCAUUUUUGGUAAGAAGAACUGGCAAUGCGGGAUGAACCGAAAUCUGGGUUACGGUACCCAACUAUGCGCUAACCUAGACCCCACAAAGGGUGUUGGUCAAUUAAGACAGCAGAACAGUGGUCAUGGAAGUCGAAAUUUGCUAAGGAGUGUGUAACAACUCACUUGCCGAAUCAACUAGCCCCAAAAAUGGAUUGUGCUAAAGCGCAUGACCUAUACCCGGCCGUCGGGGCAAGGACCAGGCCCCGAUGAGUAGGAGGGUGCGGCGGUCACUGCAAAACCUGGGGCGUGAGCCCGGGCGGAGCGAUCAUCGGUGUAAAUCUUGGUGGUAGUAGCAAAUAUUCAAAUGAGAACUUUGAAGGACGAAUAGGGGAAAGGUUCCAUGUGAACGACACUUGCACAUGGGUUAGUCGAUCCUAAGGGACAGGGGAAGCUCGUCUGAUAGCGCUCUAAGCGUGCACUCUGAAAGGGAAUCGGGUUAAAAUUCCUGAACCGGGAUGUGGCGGCUGACAACAACGUUAGGGAGUCCGGAGACGUCGACAGAGACCCCGGAAAGAGUUAUCUUUUCUGUUUAACAGUCUGCCCACCCACAUAUUGAAGCUUCGCUGCUCCUUAUGAAUCUCUUACUUGAGUCUAUUGAGAAACUUUGUUUCUAUUAAGAAACUUGUUGAACUUCUUGACCAAUAGGUUUCUUGUCUCUCAUUUUGUCCUCAUCUGAAUCUUUUCC